rnacentral:tRNA from 1 species
GGGUACGGCUCAGUGGUAGAGCGCAUGCUUUGCAUGCACAACAUCCUGGGUUCAAUCCCCAGUACCUCCA